AACGAACGCUGGCGGCAGGCUUAACACAUGCAAGUCGAACGCCCCGCAAGGGGAGUGGCAGACGGGUGAGUAACACGUGGGGAUCUGCCCAAUGGUACGGAAUAAUUCCGGGAAACUGGGACUAAUACCGUAUGUGCCCGCAAGGGGAAAGAUUUAUCGCCAUUGGAUGAACCCGCGUCGGAUUAGCUAGUUGGUGAGGUAAAGGCUCACCAAGGCGACGAUCCGUAGCUGGUCUGAGAGGAUGAUCAGCCACACUGGGACUGAGACACGGCCCAGACUCCUACGGGAGGCAGCAGUGGGGAAUAUUGGACAGUGGGCGCAAGCCUGAUCCAGCCAUGCCGCGUGAGUGAUGAAGGCCUUAGGGUUGUAAAGCUCUUUCGCCGACGAAGAUAAUGACGGUAGUCGGAGAAGAAGCCCCGGCUAACUACGUGCCAGCAGCCGCGGUAAGAC
rnacentral:rRNA from 1 species